rnacentral:snRNA from 1 species
GGGCUCACUUGAGCAGCGCAGACACUCACACCAGAACAACUCAGAGAAGAUUAGCUUAGCAUGGCCCUGCACCAAGAAGACACGCAGGUUCCCUGAAGCACUUGUGAUGUUU